ACUAUUUUGACAGAUUAAUGUAUUGAAUUUAGAAUUCAUUUAUGUAGAUUUCUUCUACAAAUAGUA
rnacentral:tRNA from 1 species